GCCCACGUAGCUCAGCUGGAUAGAGCGCCUGGCUACGAACCAGGAGGCCGGAGGUUCGACUCCUUCCGUGGGCG
rnacentral:tRNA from 1 species